AAUAAUUUCCAGAAAUUCAUUUUACAAAAAUCUUAAAAAGAUUUUGUUAGAAAGAAAUAUCCAUUUCUAUUUCAAAUAAAAUAAAAUAAAAAAUCUUAUCCAACUUUGUGUAUUUCAAGCAAUUUUUCAUAUAAGUUUUUUACUACAAAAUUACUUUGCAUGUACAAUAUAUUAUAGUUUCCUUUUUAAAAAUAGGUUUUGUUAUUUUUAACAAUAUCUCAAAAUAUUUAUUUUAUAUUAUGUAGGCCUGAUUUAAUAUGACUCCCAUAUAUAUUUCGAAUUUAUAAAUAAAAUUAAAAAUUAUUUAAAAUAGUAUUGUUACAUAAUAAUGUUCUGAAAAUAAAUUUUGUUACAAAAUGUAUAGUAAUAACAAUAUAAACCACUUAAAUAUUGGUAUUAUAGAGUUAUAAUUAACAUAUAGGUAAUUUAGUGAUAAAUUUUGUUAUAUAAACUAAAAUGUUUUAGUAUAUAUAAAGAGAAAAAACUUGUACGAAUGUGCGGAUGACUAAGUUGUUUUCUUAUGAUACAUUAGUUUCCAGAAUAAUAAAUCUAACUUUAUUUUUUUCUUUUGAUGCUCUUUAAAAUUAAGUUUCUCAAUUAUAACACGAAUAUUUAAACAUUGGACAGCCCAAAAAAUCAUUCUUGAAUGGUGAUGAAUUAAUUAUCUAUAUCAAAGAGCAACUCGAAUUAGGUCUAUACGUCCUUGCAAAUCAUAAACCCUAAUACACAAACCUUCUUGUAUAAUAAAAUACUAGAUUUUUCAUGUGCAGGUAGAUUUUCAUUUUACAAAUAUAUAACAGAUACCAUCGCAAAACUUUCAAAGAUAUAAUUUACAUUUUAGUGUUAUAUAUUGUGUAAAUCUAUAAUGUUAUUGGUUAUGUUUUUUAUUCGAUAUUAUUAAUGUAUAGUGAUUUGUUUUAUACAGUUUACUUUAUUAUUGAUUGUUAUUAUAUAUUAAUAUAUAUUCGAGUUUGGUAAAAUAAAUUCAUAGUAUGAAAUAAACAAAUAGAAAAUCUCCUUCAUUUUUCUAUACAUAUCACCAAUUUAUCAUCAAAUAAUUGACAUGUCGUUCGCGUUUGGUAGUAUGGGAGUUGACAACUUAGUAUCUCAGUGCAUAAGUUCGUAAAGAACGUUCUCUGUUAAACAACCGAGUUAUGCAUGGAUCACUAUGUCUAUCGGCUUUGAUUCAUGUUAACAUGAUAGAUCGAUCAAAACUCACUCAUCCAUCAAGUUAAUUGGUAUAGAUCCAGAUCACUAAUCUAAAUAAAAAAUGAUAUGCCUAAUUCUGAAUUAACACGUAUAAUAUAUUAAACACUCAUUAUUGGGGCAAAUGAUACCGUCCCCGUGGGUGAUUUCCAGGGUUUAUACGUAUGUGGUGACGUUUUCUCUUUUUCGCUUAAAUUAUGUAAACGUUGACUUCUGUUUAAUUUUAUAUAUUGGAAUUCUUACAACAUCACUCUUUGUUAUUACUAAUUCAAUGAUUACACUAACCUUUUUUUUUAACUUCAGAAACAGAAUAUAGGUUAGAUAAUUUUCCUGGUAAAAAAAAAAGUUAUAUAAUUACAAGAUUGGUGUAAGAUAUUAUUUUGGAUUUUCUACACAGAAGUAGAUCACUGAAUAGCUUUUAAGUUUUAGUAACUUUUAUUCACUUUCAUUUGUAUGUUAGUCACGGUUUUCUUAUAUCACUUUAAAUUCGUAUGUAUCAGUUAAUUUAAAUUUAAAACUUUGGUACAUUAUAGAAUAAAAAUAAAUGUAAUAUUAGGUAUUAACUAUUAAGGUAGAUAAAAAAGUGCAAUCAGUGAAAGAGGCCUAAACAAAGGGAGACCGAGAGAGCGUAGAAAUUUAUAGAAAAGAGCAUGCGACUCGAACAUAUCAUAUGAAAAUAAAAACUCACAAACUUAACCACUAACUCAAAAGUAGUCUAAGUAGAUAAAACCAUCUGAGCAGCAUAUUAAGUAAUGUAUAUCGUUAGGGCACCAGCUAGCUUCUGUAAGCUAAUUAUGCUAUUGAAUAUGCACAAUAACACAUCGUUGGUAGAGUCUUAUCACACUAAAUCAUACUAUAGACUAGUGAAGAUAUACUAAGAUAUCAUGAAAUUAUGUUUUACAAAUUCACUUUUCAAUAGGUUUGAACAUCUAUUCACAAAAAUACCAUAUGGAAUAAUUGUUUAAAAGUCAUUGAAAUGAUUUUUGUUCAUUUGAUUGAAUCUUACCAAGUACAAUCAUUAAUGCUAAAUCCGAGAACACGGUUGUGUGAAUGGAAAUAAAAAUAGACAGAGGCAAAUAUGUGGAACCCAGUAGUGUAAUUAGAGGUUAUAGUUAGUGACGACAUAUAACUAUCAUAUGAAAUCACACUAUCUAUUUAUUGGUCCCUAAUAGCUCAACAAAUAACUAGUUUAGCUAUUAAAGAACUUGCUCGUUCCAUUGUACUAUUUGAAAACCUAUACUCACUUUAAGUGAUGUAUAGUUCAAGUAUUAGGGUAUAUACAAUAAUAUAAAUAUAGAUAAAAAUUAAUUAUAACAAACUGCUUAAACUCAAGCCAAAUGCGUAAAAUUGUCAAUAGCGUUUCAGUUGGGUAUUAAGAUUCAAAAUCUCUAAUUUGUUUGAUUGUACACCCAACACAUAAGCAUCAAUAUUAUUAUAUAUGCUAACUAUUGACCUUUAAUUUUGGGUUAUGGUCACCAAAUUCUACCGUUAACAUGUUCAGAGAUCCGUAUUCUCCCUCGUAGGACUCGAUCAUAAGAUAGCUAGUGAAGUAAGUGGAAAAAAAAAGAUUUUCCUAAAUUUCGCCAAAGUGUAAUGAUUUGAAUAUUGCGUCCAAAAUCUAGUGGCACACAAAGAAUGAAACUAGUGGGGGACACAUUGUUCACCUUCUUUAUGUUUCACUUCUUAUUUCGAUUAUACGCAAUUUAAGCAACCAAAGAAAUCUCAUUUCUUUUGUCGAUUGUAAGAUUAAAAAACGGUAAUCGCUCUCAAGUGACCCAACAGUGCCUGACGUUUGUAUUGUCUAGAUGACUCCUAGAACUUGUUCUGCUAUAAAAAUAAACCUAUAAAAGUUAUAGAUAAAAUGAUAUAUACACGCACUUAUUUCCAACGUUUUAAUGAUAAAUUAAGUUUUUGAACGUUUUGGCAUAUACCACAUUUUAGAAAACUGCUUUUCCUUUAAAGAUUCCAAGUUGGCCAAGAAAGAUGCAUUAUGAUAGUGACAUAUAUAUAAUCAGUGCUUCAUGUCUACCGCCAUGUUUAUAACCCAUGCUUUCCACUGCCAAGUGUGACUUCAACUAGAUAUUUAUGGUUCGAGUUUAAUAAUUAAUCAAAAGACAACUGUAACUUUAUUUCCUUGUCGAUGAACUUAAAUUAUCCCACUUCUUCAAGCUUUCAAAGCCAAUGUCUCACUUUUCUUGUGAAUCCCAAAAUCCACUUGUGUACCAUCCAAGCAUUCAGCAACUUUACAAUUGCAUGCCCUUCCAAUUUCACUCUUGUAUAACUUUCGGCUUCAAAGAUCCUGUAUUGUUGUUAUCAAUAAAGCUUGAAAUGUAAUUCCAGAGCCGUUACGACAUUAGCAAAAUGAUUGCUUUGGAGACAAUCGAAGGCUCAGCAUUAAUACAAGUGUUAAUUAUCUUGUCAUUGACUUGCUUGAUCGGUACAACUUUGUGGGGACUUUGAGAAUUCAACCAUUCGCUAGAGUGUCAUGAUCUAGUGCAAAUUGCAAAACUUCUUGAUUCCAUUGAUUGCAUGUAUUUCCAUCUAAAACUAAUAUAUUUAGGCUUCUUCAUAUUCACCAUAUACAGUAGCCACAUAGCCAAUAAAAACGCUAUGUUUAAACUAAAUGCUAAUUUAAGUUUCCGCCAUUGAACAAUCAAAAGCUAUAUAAAAUCUCAUAAUUAUGUAAAUAUACAAUUUUUUGGAACACUAUUAUUUAAAUACAUUUAACUUAUAUUUACUUAUAUAAACACAAGUAUACAUCUUUUCAAAAGAAUUUAAAACAUCAAACAACCUUUCAUUUACAUGCUAUAAUACUGUUGAUGAGAAAAGGAAAAAAGGAAAGUGGAACUUGAAAGUGUGAGUAUGAGUAUGAGGAUGAGUAUGAGUGGGUGCUUAUAAUACAUGUCAUGUCAUAUCAUGUCUUAGGUGAAGGAAAGCCAAACUCCACUUUACUCAGAACUAUACAUUCACUAAACAAGCUGAGCACAACAUAUCCAGCAAAUCAUAUGAGUUGCAGGUUUCCAUAAGUGGCAAAAGGCUCAUCACCCUUCAGUCAUAACCAAUUGCUUUUCAACUUGUCCUACCAGUAGUGAUUAUAUAUCACUCCUUCACUACCACUGAAACUCACAUCAUCCUUCAAAGUGUACACCGACAAUAGAUUAUUAUUAUAUACUGCUUUUUUGUCAAGGGAUUAAUAUUUUCCAUAUAUAAAACUCAAUUUUUUUUUUUGUAACACAAACCUCAAUCUAUUAAUAGUUGUUUUGAGUAACUAAUACAUACCACUGCGGUAUUAAUGGAUGCUUUUCAUAUAUUUCAAAGUACUGCUUCUGAACUAAUGAAUAGUAAUUAUUCAAUUUGUUUUUUGAAUGUCUAGAAGUUCUGGAUCCGAAGGUAUGUAUAUUCUCUAAGGUGAGACUUAUACCAUUUUAAAUUAAAUCUUUUAAAAGAGAAGAUCCUCCCAACGGAAACUGAACCUAUAACCCUUUGGAUUCCUACUAGGUAAUUUCGGAGUUUUAGCCACUAGUUAAACUCAUGUUUAGUUCGAUUAUUCAUUGUCGUACUUCAAACACUUUACUAAAUAUCAUAUUGGAUGAUACAGAUAUCUCUCUAUAUAUGUAUAUGUUUUCUGAUAUGUUCUAGAUUUGAUCAGUUCGGUAAAAUACAUUUAGUUCUACAUAAUAGAUUUCUCUCUGAGUGAUCACUAUACUGUUUAAUCCGAGUUUAAAAUAUUUUUCAACUAAUGUCAGAAGUAAUUGAAACGCAUGUAACAAACUACCAAAUAAUUAUUUAUGGUCGAAGUCCAAACUCAAACUUGUCAUGCAGCUAUGAUUUUGUUUUAAAGGUAGCUCGAACUUCAAGAAACGUGUUUCAGAUAUAUGUAUUUGUUGUGAUUCUUUUGGUUUGUAUAUGUUGUGAUUUUUGCAUUCAAUCUUCAGCCAAAGUACUCGCACUAACCACUAUCAAAAUACUCAUCCUUGAUGAGACAAUCGAUCGAACACAUUGAAAACAAGAACACAGAUAAAACAAUAAUAAUAACUUUGUCUAACUAAUGAAACAUAGUAAUUACUUCAAGGUGUAUUCCAUUAUAGUUUACAAUAUAGUCAAUUUCGUAAUUAAAUCUUAGCUUGGAAAAAUAACACUCAAAAAUAUUGUGGAUUCAACGUGGCUCCUACGAAAAUUAUAUCUGUUCACGCAGAUUCUCCUCCCAGAACAGUGCCAUGGUGUAUUCUGUUGUUAGACCCUUUUUGGUAUAUAGCUCUAUAUAGAUAUUUUGGUAACGGAACAUAUUGGAUGAUAGAUAGUGUGGCACAUACAGUAAAUCGAACAGUUUUCAUAGUCCCACAUUCAUUUUAUAUGAUAUUUACUGAAACAGCAUAUUAUUAUAUUAGUCCUGACCACUCCUGAAUCUUAUUUAUACUAUUCUGAACAGUUCUAUAUUGUGAGUUUUGUGUAAUUAUCUAAAUUUUCACAACAAAAUUAUUAAUUUGUGUUUAAUUUGUCCGUCAGUAUUCAAAAAGAAUAUAUAAACAAAACUAGAAUAAAUCGUGGAUGUGCAUGUGCAUGUACAUGUAGCACUUGAGCCAGCUAUAAUGCUAGACCCCUAAUUUAAAAUAUCGCCAAAAUAAUUGGGCCUAGAAGUUUGGGCUCCAUAUACAUGGGCCGAAGAUUAUCUGAUUAUUCCGCCUCCCACUGACGCAAACGUUUUCAAAACGGAAAGGAAGUGAGAUAUUUUUCCAGCGACGAAGAAACCAUGGCGGGAAUCGAUACGCAGAAGCAGCUUCUCUCUCUGAUCCGCGACUUCACCUCUGAAAGAUCUCGUGGAGAGCAAAGAGUGGUUGGAUUGAAGAAGCGGAUCGAGUCUCUGCAAUCGGAAGUUGAAGCAGCGAACGAAGAAGUUGAAAAGGCGAAACGAAUCAAAGAAGUGGCGGAAGAGGAGCUCAACGGCUACGAAGUUGAAUCGUCUUUGAACGAUGCUACGAUUCAAUCUCUUGAGGCAAGGAUUGCUCUUCUUCAGGAUGAAGUUUCUACUGUUGGCAAUGAAGUAGAUGCUCUCAAGAACAAGGAAGGAUUACUUAGAGAUCAAUUUAUAAGCCAAAUGGUUGAGCUGAACAAGGAAAUAAGGGUGUUCCAGAGAACUGUAGCCUCCAGUGUGGGAAAUGAUGAUAGUACUAGCAUAACAGCAACAGAUGUUGAAGUUUUUGAGGAUGGUCAUGGAGCUGAUUCACAAGCUAUCAAGGAUAUGCUAUCUGAUGUAAAUUCUCAAUUAGCAAAAGAGGAGGAAGGAUACUUAGCGGAGCAGAACAUAAAAGAACAGCUGCAGAAAGAGCUUGAUGAAUAUGAGAAGAAGAUGUCACUCAUGGAGGCCAUAACAGAGAAAACAAACUCAGUGCAUGCUCUCGCUACGCAGAGUUCUGAGCUGGAACAGACAUUGGCUUCACUGGGGGAGGAGCUGCAGAAGAGAUGCCGAUGCCAACAUUGCCAGGCAGAAAAUUUGGAAGUCUUGAGCUUACUUCUCCAAGGAGACCAGGAUAUGGUGGUGUCUUAGUUAAAGAGAAUCUUACAUGUGGGUUGCUUGAGGGAAGAUUGAUUUACUCAGGUUCCAAAAUCUCGCAGAGGAUAGAGACCAAAACCAGAAAACUAAGAGCAAAAAGAAGAGAGAAAUGAAAUAACCUUGGAGACGGCUUUCAUGAAGGUUACAUCAUUGAAAGAACCACCUAUGUCAUUCAGUAGUAAGCCGGUGAAGAAAAAUAUAAUAGGAGCGAUGAAGCCAUCACCAAUGGCUCCGAUUAAUCCUAAUCCCAUCAACAUCCAGUCCACACCGUCCGCGUUCAUAAAAAUCAAUCUUAUGCUUCCCCAAAUCUUCAUUUUAACUUUCUCCUUUUCCUUCACCUCUAAACUGUUUGAGAGAAAAGACCUGUACGACACCUUAACCUUAAGGAAACGAUAGCUCACUCACAGCAUUUUUUAGGCGCCUUUUCUUGUGUAGUGUUGUGGUUCUCCCGUCCCUGGUCGUUUUAUAUUAGCAUGUGAGACACAGAAAGAUUACUACACGAAAGUUUGAUUCUUAUAAAAUGUGUUUAUUAUAAUU